ensembl:lincRNA Gm26562 predicted gene, 26562
AAUGUUCAUCUUCAGCUCUCCGAAGGAUGCUGGGCAGCAGGAGAAUGGAGCUGGAUGCCGUCUUUAUUCCCGAGUCAGAGACCAGGCUGGCCUCACACUCAGAGAUCUGCCUACCUCUGCCUCCCAAGUGCUAGAAUUCAGGCAUGUGUGCCACCAUCUCCAAAAUCUGUGGGAAAAGUCAACUACCAUUUUGAGAAGCCAUGAUGGACUAUGGAAAGAACAUACGGUGAGAAACUGAGGUCUGCCGGCCACCACAGUGGUCCUGGGGACAGGUCUAUCUCAGUCUAACUGCAGGCCUAAGGCACAUUGACUGUAACCACAAGAGAGACCUUGUACCCAAGAGAUCAGGAUAAUCCCCUUCAGAGAAACAAAUGCUUGUUGUUGAAGUUGCUGCUUUGGGGGACAAUUUGCUACGCAACAGUUACGCAGCUAGUGUGCUCCUUCAUUGAGUAGCUGGGAGAACAAGGACUUGAAGGAAGCCACGGCUCUUGUCAGCACUCUUUCUAGGAUAUAAAACUUCAACUUCUUCUUCCUCCUUCUCCUCCUUUAUUUAUUAUUAUAAAUAUAUACAUAUAUAUAUUUUGAGACAGGGUUUCUCUGUAUAGCCCUGGCUGUCCUGGAACUCACUCUGUAGACCAGGCUGGCCUCGAACUUAGAAAUCUGCCUGCCUCUGCCUCCCAAGUGCAGGGAUUAAAGGCAUGCGCCAUCACUCCCGGCUUCGUUUAUUCAUUAGUUUCUAUUACGGAUGGUUGUGAGUCCCCAUGUGGCUGCUGGCAAUUGAACUCAGGACCUUUGGAAGAGCAGUCAGUGCUCUUAACCACUGAGCCAUCUCACCAGCAACACUGCCCCCUCCCCCACCCCGACAAGUAUCUUUCUUACUAAUCAAUAAUAACCAUGUGAGUAAAAGGCUCACUUUGUUUAUUACGAGAAGGCUAUCCUAAAACUUUUAUACCACUCAGGCUACCUUCAAACUCAUGGGAAUCCUCCUGUCUCAACUUUCCAAGUGCUGGGACUGUAGGUAAAAGCCAUCACAACACAUCAAAGGUUCUCUUCCUGCACAGAGGGAAUUUUUUUUUUGAGACUUCAUUUUUAUUUCAUGUGCAUGGAUGUUUUUGCUUAACUGUGUCUAUGCACCACAAGCAUGCACUACCCACUGAGGCCAUGGGAAAGCAUUGGAUCCUCUGGAACUGGAUUUACAGGCAGCUGUGAGCUGCCAUGUGGGUGUGGGGAACCAAAUCCAGGUCUUCUGGAAGAACAGUCAGUGCUCUUAACCACUGAGACAUCUGUACAGCCCCAAACAAGGUCAGCCUGGUCUACAGAGUGAGUUCCAGGACAGCCAGGGAAACCCUAUCUCGAAAAAAAUUUUUUUUUUUGCUUAGAGUGCUGCUCCAGUGUCAGAGUGGCUGUCAACCACACACAACACCCUAGCUGUGAUUCCAAACAACUCUAUAAACCAAGCAUGACAUGGUUGGUGCUUUCUUGGAAGCCCAGCACUUGGGAAGCAAAUUCAAAAAUUGAAGAUCAAAAAUUGAAGACAUCCCUAACAUGUGGAUGUACACAAGGGUGCUACCCUUGGACACGUGCUCUUGGGUUCUCUAAGAAAGCAGGCUGAGAAAGCCAUGAGGAGCAACUGUAUGUUCUGCUUCAGUUCCUGCCCCCAGGUUCCUGCCCUACCUUGAGUUCCUGCUUUGACUUCUCUCAGUGAUGACCCAUCGCCAGGAAGUGUUAGAUGAAAUAAAGUUUUUCUUCCCC